rnacentral:lncRNA from 1 species
AUUCCUUCUGUGCCUGAUCAAUUGAGAAUGUGAGUCUGUUCUAGCCCCUUGCUACAGAUCCUGGCUCUUUAGCAUAGGCAUUCUGCACUAGAGGUCCCUAAUUUUGGGAUUCAAACUGCAGAUACAUAGGAGAAGCUGCCUCAGUCCUGAAGAAUUAUGCAGCCUGGAGAUCCCUCGUGCAAUCCCUGGUGUUGGCAGCUGAAUACCUUCAGCUUCCCUGGGACAGUAAUGGGUAGACUGCUCUGCUGCCUGUCACGGAACUUAGUCCAUGAAAGUUCUGUCUUUGAAAAGCUACAUAAGAUACCUGCAGGUUGUUCCACAGGAGGGUUGUACUGCUCCAAAGUGAUCCUGUGGAGCUGUGGAGGAUUUUACCUCAGAUGCCUCUGCUUCAGUUUCCCGAUCUGUGAAAUGAGGAUAGGAAUACUGACCUACCUGACAAGGUAAAAUAAUAAAUGUUGUUAACUUCUAUUGCGAUCA